GGUUUUAACAUGCUUGGAGACAUUUGAUUGUAUAAGAAAUGCUGUUCUUCUUUUGUCUUGUUCUAAUGGGAACCAGCCCCUGAUGAAGCUUCUGGCAAAACAGCUCCAUAUCCCGGGGUGGCUGUUGUGAUUUUCCCUGGUGCACCUUGUCUUUCACAACCAAUUAUUAUUAGCUGUUACAGAGCAGGUUGCUUGCUUUCUUCACAUGAAGGAUUCAUGAUUUGAUCUACAUGCAUUUUCACAUCUCACUGAGUACAUUGUCUCCUCUCUUUGGACUUGAGGACUCCUUACUUUAUGUAUUCUUCAAUUUCUCAUUUUGAAGACAUCUUGGACUGUGUGUGGACACCUGCAUAUACUGGUUUCUCAUUGUAUUCUAUAAUUCUACUUGGUAUUUUUUAUUGUAUUUUUAUAUGUAUUUGUACAUGUACUUUCAUAUGUGUCAUUCAGAUGAGUUUGAUUACUUUUA